AUACGGAGGAUCCGAGCGUUAUCCGGAUUUAUUGGGUUUAAAGGGAGCGUAGGUGGAUUGUUAAGUCAGUUGUGAAAGUUUGCGGCUCAACCGUAAAAUUGCAGUUGAAACUGGCAGUCUUGAGUACAGUAGAGGUGGGCGGAAUUCGUGGUGUAGCGGUGAAAUGCUUAGAUAUCACGAAGAACUCCGAUUGCGAAGGCAGCUCACUAGACUGUUACUGACACUGAUGCUCGAAAGUGUGGGUAUCAAACAGGAUUAGAUACCCUGGUAGUCCACACAGUAAACGAUGAAUACUCGCUGUUUGCGAUAUACAGUAAGCGGCCAAGCGAAAGCAUUAAGUAUUCCACCUGGGGAGUACGCCGGCAACGGUGAAACUCAAAGGAAUUGACGG
rnacentral:rRNA from 1 species